GGACUUGUUCCCACAAGUAAUAUUCCAACAAUGGUCAAUUGGACGAAAGGACUCAAUUAUAGGUUUUGCCAAAUCUCAGAAACUAAAUUACUUGAAUUUAAAAAUACAGGGACUAAAUUGUAGAUUUUGUCAAACCUCAUAGACUAAAUUGUAAUUUACCUAUUAGAAUUUCAGGAUAAAUUUUGGAAUAUUGGAUAAAAUUUUUUCAAUUUUGAAAGGUUUGGUUUAAUUGUACAAAAUUAAAAGGUUUGGAUAAAACGAACAACAAACGUAAAAGUUUGGAUUUUUUCAGCCAAUUGGCCAUCAUUUUAUGUCUCCUCUCAACUCGUAAUAGCCAAUUUUAAACCAAGUUCUUCUUCCAAUAUUAGGGGUGUGCAAACAUCAAUUUGAAAUGAAAAGAAAAACAAACUGAACCGACACUUUACGGUUUUUCGGUUAGGUUUUUUAUUUGAAGAUUUUUGGUUAUUUUAGUUUAGUUAGGUUCAGUUCUAACACUGAAAUAACAUCACUGAACCUGUUAAUAAUACCGAGUUGUUUUAUGUCAAUAACCAAAGACAUAAACCCUACCAACCUCACAUCACACCUCCUUUUCAGUUUUGAGAUUCUUCUCUCAAUCCCAAUGCCUUUGUGAUUCUUCUCUUGCCUCUCUCAGAUCUCGAUCUCACGAUGAAAAGUGGUGAGGCUUAGCUAGAGAUGAUCAUGAGACAGCUGCACAAAAGAGAACCCUUGCCACCCUUCACUGCUCAGAUCUCAAUCUAUCUUUGCUCUAUGCAGUUUGCAAUCCUAAACCUUUUGCUUCUUUUUUUGUUGCUGUUUUGGAUUUUAUUUCUUGAUUUGAAUGUGAUGCAAGUAACAUGAGAAAUCCAUUGAUAAUUCCUUUGCUUGUGGUUCAUUUUUGAAUGUUUACAUAGGAAUUAUUUCUGAUUCAAUAAUUAAAAAAAAGAAUGGAUAGUAAUUUUUAGGUUACCUUUUUCCUUAAAACAAAUAAUAAAAUAAAACAUUUGAUUUUUUGAGUUGCU
rnacentral:misc_RNA from 1 species